UACAGAGGUCUCAAGCGUUGUUCGGAUUCAUUGGGCGUAAAGGGUGUGUAGGUGGCGCCGUUAGUCGGGUGUGAAAUUUCGGAGCUUAACUCCGAAACUGCAUUCGAUACUGCGGUGCUUGAGGACUGGAGAGGAGACUGGAAUUCAUGGUGUAGCAGUGAAAUGCGUAGAUAUCGGGAGGAAUACCUAUGGCGAAAGCAGGCUACUGGACCGUCACUGACUCUGAUCUGCGAAAGCUAGGGGAGCAAGCAGG
rnacentral:rRNA from 1 species